rnacentral:rRNA from 1 species
GAAUUUUGCACAAUGGCCGAAAGGCUGAUGCAGCAACGCCGCGUGAGUGAAGAAGGCCUUCGGGUUGUAAAGCUCUGUUGCCCGUGACGAAGUGCCAUAUCAGGAAAUGGGUAUGGUUUGACGGUAGCGGGAGAGGAAGCCCCGGCUAACUACGUGCCAGCAGCCGCGGUAAUACGUAGGGGGCGAGCGUUGUCCGGAUUUAUUGGGCGUAAAGGGCGUCUAGGCGGUUCUUUAAGUCAGGGGUGAAACCCCGGAGCUCAACUCCGGGCCUGCCUCUGAAACUGGGGAACUUGAGUGCUCUAGAGGGCAGUGGAAUUGCCGGUGUAGCAGUGAAAUGCGUAGAGAUCGGCAGGAACACCAGUGGCGAAGGCGACUGCCUGGGGAGUAACUGACGCUGAGGCGCGAAAGCUGGGGGAGCAAAC